AAUUCUCAUAUUUAAUACGUCUUUCCUGUGUAAACACUUGACGUUUGGUUAACAUUGGAUAUGGACACAAUAUAAUUUACAAAUAUUGAUAAAAUUUAAAUAUGUUUUCGAAAAUCUGUAAAAACGAAAAAAAAAUAUACCUAUAUCUUAUAUUUUAUUACUUUUACAUAUAUACAACUGUCGAUAAAUUAUACCAUUAUCUAAGUAUCCAAUAGGUAGGUAAUAUAAUAUUUUAGAACAAUACUAAAAUGUUAUAUUAAAGCGAUCAUUGAUGUAUGGAAGUAUGAAAUUUUGGUUUGCUGGUUUAAAAUAAAGAUACGCACAUACUUCGCACGAUAGUUUGGCCAUUGUUUUAGGUGAGAAGUUGGGAAGUUAGAAGGAAAAUUGUAUAUACAUCAGUAAGUAACGUUUAACCAUCACUAACGAAAAGCA